rnacentral:rRNA from 1 species
GACGAACGCUGGCGGCGUGCUUAACACAUGCAAGUCGUACGGUAAGGCCCUUUCGGGGGUACACGAGUGGCGAACGGGGGAGUAACACGUGAGUAACCUGCCCACAACUUUGGGAUAACGCUAGGAAACUGGUGCUAAUACUGGAUAUGUGCUCCUGCUGCAUGGGGGGGGUUGGAAAGCUCCGGCGGUUGUGGCUGGACUCGCGGCGUAUCAGCUUGCUGGUGGGGUAGUGGCGUACCAAGGCGGCGACGGGUAGCCGCACUGAGUGGGUGACCGGCCACAUAGACACUGAGAGACGGCACAGACACCUACGCGAGGCAGCAGUGCGGAAGAUUGCACAAUCGGCGCAGGCCGGAUGCAGAAACGCCGCGUGCGGGAUGACGGCCUUCGGGUUGUAAACCACUUUCAGCAGGGACGGUGCUUAUUGUGACGGUACCUGAAGAAGAAGCACCGGCUAACUACGUG